AAGAACAAACAUUUACAGAGAAAUGAAUUAAGCGUAGAAGGGAAACUAUGCAUACACUCAUGAAUCUGGGAAUGAAACUCCGAAGAGGGAAGAAAUUUACCGGAUCGGGGUACUUUGGAGCGGAUGAACAGGUGCGUGACCACUUCUCUUCCUUCUCCUUUGGACUCACCUCUCAUUUAUAGCUUCACUCAGGUUCUCAAAGAAUCAAUCUGAAUGAUCUCGUUGUGUCGGCCCUUUUCAUUUUGUAGAAUUCUUCCUUUUUUGUUAGUGAACAGUAACGGCGACCCUUUUACAAUUAGGGUUGGUGUCCUUUUAUAUGUGUGAAAAAUGAGGAUAACAAGUUCAAAAGAAAACGUGAGUGGGUUUUCUGAAUCAAUCUCCUGAUAGUGGUUUAUCCUCAAGCCCUGAUUCAAAGAAUCCUUUUUUGAGUGGUGGUGAGAGUGUGUACGGGAAUCUUUGGAAUUUUUUUGUCUUUGUCUGCCUUGUGGUCCCUGACCAGUGCAUUUUGAUGCACUUUCUUCUACUAUUGUACUUAGGAAAUUAUAUAGUUUAUUAUAUUAUUUUUAUUAUUUUAGUAUGUUUUAAUAUUUAAGUUUAUUUUUGCCUUUAUUUUAUUUUCGUACUUUAUUUUUAGGAUAAAUAGUUAUUUGAUACCUUAUCACUAUGCAGAUCAUAACUUGGGCUAUAUGAGUCGGAUUGACACGUUCGAAUAUGUGUUGGAAAGCUAAGAGAAAGAACUACAAGUUUCUUGUUGAAGUCAAAAGCAGAUUCAUAAUGAAGAAGGGUCGAUUAAUUCGUUGAAGUUUCAGAUUUAAUUAAAAUAGUUAGUUUGGGUCAGUUUUUGUAAUUUUUGGGCCGGAUCCUAUAAGGGCCCGUAUUUGCCUUUUAUUAUAUUAGGUCUUUCACUACUACAGUAAUCCUAAUUCUGAAUUUUGAUGAGACAAUAUUGCUUAGAGGAUUUCAUGGAUAUCUAAUUCCCAAAGAGCUGAUAUGUUGUAUUCGGAUUCCCCUUUGAGGUUUUUAAUAAUUUUAGUUUAAUUUCGAUUUCUUUUCAAUUCUUCCUAUAAACUCAUUUGCUUAAUUCGACUACUUUCGUUUGCUUAAUUCAAUUGUUUCUUAUAGGAUAGAGUUGAUUAAAUUUGAUUGUUUGUAUGAUCCUUAACUAUAAUCACAUUAGCGUAGCUUUUUCGUUAUCGUGUUUGAUUAAGUCGCGUUUGCUUAAUUCACAUCUGCUUAAAUCCGUUUGUUUAAUUUGGAAAUUAGGAGCAUACAUCAUAUAAUACCAAUUUGCACUUGUCAGUGGAUAUUGUAAUCGAAUGGGAUUGAAUCCGCUAGGGAAUUAAAAUUAUAAGAAUCGAUGAUAAGUCGGAAAUCGAUACAAUAGAUUAGCUUAUUUAUCAAUUUUGAUUUUACCUUUAAUAAUCAUCCAUUUAAGUUUUGGACCUUAAAAAUCCCCUUAUUUUCAUUCGUUUGGUUAUAACAUUCAAGAGUCCUUGUGAUACGAUAUUCGAGUGUCGCUUCUGUUUUACUACACUUUAAACUCGUUUUUGACCCGUGUGCGACAGCGAAUCAAAUUGGCGACGUUGCCGGGGACUCUUGUAGAUCUUAACCAUUAGUAUAGUCUAAUCAUUAUUAUAGUUUUUUCUUGCGUUUUGGUCUUUUUGCGUUUUAGGAUAAAAAAAAAUCAGUUUUAAAAAAAAAUCGUCUCAGAUUAUUUCAAUUUUUUGUUGACUCAUUAGGAAAAAAUCAAGGAUUAAAAGUAUUAAUUUAGGAACUAAAUAGUGGAAACCGUUCUAAAAAUCUGAAUUUCCUUAUUUUUCUAUUUUUUAUGAUUUAUUUUCUGUUUUGAUAGUUUCAGAAAAUUCCGCAAAAAUUCUCAAAAUUCUUAAUUGACAUUAUUAGAUUAAUUUUCAUAUUUUUGUAUUUUUUUUCCUUUUAUUUUAAUAGUUUUUUUUCGCAUUUCAAUUGUUUUUUUUAAUAGGGACAUUAUCGGUAUUUUUCUAUUUGUUGCUGCAUUGCUGAAUUAGUUGUGUUUUCUCAUUGUUUGUUGAUUUUUUUUCUUUUCUAUUGAGUUUAACAUGGCUGACCAAAAAACUCCGAGAGAACUUGUUGGCCCUGAUGUUGAUUAUAAUGCUUUGUGUAUUGAUAAGACUCCAGUUGCUGUCAAAUCCUUAAUUGAGAAGAUGUCACUUAACUCUCAACAGUUCACAACAAGGGAUAAUUUUGUGGUCCAAGCAAAAGGUGUGAAUGAGAUUCAGGUUUCUUCUUCCAACAAAGCUCUAGAAACUAGAAUUGAUGAACUUACCUCUUUAGUGAAACAAUUGAUGCCACUCAUUCCACCACCACCACCAUAUAACCCUCCACAAGUAACCACCUCUUCACCUUCUGAACCUUCACUUGAGGAUCUUGUCAAGCAAAUGAUUGUAAAUAAUCUUCAGUUUCAACAACGAACAGAUUCUAGUAUUCAGACUUUACAAACACAAAUUAGACAGUUUGCCACUUUAAUGAAUGUCAUGCAGCAAGCUCGAGGAUCGAACCAACUACCUGCCUAAAUAGUAGUGAAUCCAAAAGUCCCCAAUGUGAGUGCAAUUUCUUUGAGAUCCGAAAAAGUUGCAGAACCAGCCCCAGAAAAAAAUAAAAAAAUUGUUAGUGUAACACCUGAAAAUAAACCCGAACCUUCUAUUGUUGUUGAGGUUGAAAAAAAUAUGUAUUACCAAUCCCUUUCCCACAAGGAGUACUGAAAAAUAAAAAGAUUGACGAGGAAGAGCAUUUUGUUUUAAAAAUAGAGUUGCUUUCUGAAGUUGUUGGUGAAGCUUGUUCUGAUUUGUUUUCAGCUGAUUUUCCAACUUUAUCUAGUUUUGAUGAUAUUUACUCAUGUGAUGAUUGUAGUACCACUAACCUUUGUGCUGUUUGUGCUGAGAUUGACGCUGCCUUGCAGGGUGAUAGUGUAAAUGAAGUUGUUUAUGUAGUUGACGUUUUUGACAUCCCAACUUCCUCAAAUAUAUCAUCCAUUGAACAACCAUCUUCUUUAGAGCCUAAACCACUUCCCGAGGGUUCACAUUAUUCAUCAAAGCUUCAACUUAAGCAGAAACAUAAGAAGGGAAUUGGAUGGACCUUGGCUGACACUCAUGAUAUUAGCUCAUCCAUAUGUAUGCAUAGGAUCUCGCUUAAAGAUGAAACAAAAGUAGUGAGAUAACCCCGUAAUCCUUUAAUUCGUGAUGUUGUGAAAAAUGAGAUCACUUUCACGUGUCCAUUCAACACUUUUACUUAUAGAAGAUUCUUCUUUGAUCCUGGAAUACAAGGCAAAUGCACUAAGAAAAAUUUCAAAGUCAAUAGACACUUCCCAAAGCUACUCCAUGAGAACCCGACUUUGGAAGGAGAUGCUGUAGAAGAGCUCUCUUUAGGAAAGGCUGCUUAUGCAAUCACUUACCUGCCUUGACUCCUCGGGUGUGUUCUUUCCUUUCUCCCACUCUUAUUUUAUAUUUAUGGUCUUUCAUUGAGGACAAUGUAUGUUUUAGGUGUGGGGGAGGGAACCAUUUAUUUUUUUUGUUUUCUUUAUUUUUUUUUCCAGUUUUUCUCUAUUUGGGUUUUUUUUUUGCUUUCUUAAAAAAAAUUGCAUGCUUUUUCCUUUGGUUUUUAAGUUACAAUUAUGAGCAUUUUUCUUAGUUCUCUUGACUAAAGUCUUGUGGUGUGAUGUGAAAAAUUUGAUGUGCAUUUUUAGUAUGAUAGGUAGGACUAAACUCUGAAUUGUACAUCAUUUGUGGUAGAUCAAUUAACCUUGUGAGCUUUGAGCCUUAUAUGGAUUGUAAGACCCUAAUUUUGACCCUAAGAUCCCUCGUGGCAUCAUGUUAUUGCACUAGUGCAUUGCCUCAAGGAUCAUAGCAUGUUUGGCCCCUUAACCCUAGGGUUAGGACUUGUUUGAGUGAUUUAAGACCACCAAGCAUGCUUGUAUUGUAUAUUAUUGCUUUUCUUAUUUGAUUACUAACCAAAAGCACAAAAAUAUGUCACUAACUCUUUUGUUUUGGAGCUCAAGUGACCAUGUGCUCCACAAUACUCAUAGGAGGCUCCUAAGCCCAACGCAAUGGCUAUAUGAAGAUGAGAAAAAGCAUGGAAAUGGUCCACAAAGUUCCUAAUCAUCAUAUAUGUCUCUCAAGUAUUUCAAUUUUCCAAUUCAAUCAAGAUAACCCAAAGGGCUUGAAGAUUGUUUCCCAAGGAAACCCUAAUUUCAUUAUACUUUGACUGUGCCUUGCCCAUGAAGCAACCUCAACCCAUGAUCAAAUUUAAUCAAGGGAAGUUCUUUCAUUUAUCAUUUUAUGCAUAUAUGAGCCUAUUUUAGGCCCUUCAAUCAUUUAUUCAUCAAGAUUGGAAGUUUGACUUUGAAAAGUUGACCAGUCAAGUCAUCUGACUAGGAUGAGAUUCAAUGAGCUAUAAUUUUUGAUGUGUUUUUCAAAUGAAGAUGACCCCAAGAGAAAAAAAUGUUCCUAAGAACCAUAUUAAAAACUUUAAUGUUCAUCAAAAAUCCAUUUGAAUCUUGGAAGACCAUCAUUCAUUUCAAAACAUUAUAGGUCAUUUUGACUGAAACCCUCAUUUUGGGUCAACUUACCAAGGGCAUAACUUCCUUAAUUUUUAUGAUUUUGAGGUGAUACCAAGGGAAUUGGAAAUCUUGAGAUGUCUACUUCAAAUUUUAUGUUGGAAAAAACUUCAUAAUCCUAAAAUAAAUACAUAUGAUAAUGCAAAACAUUAUAGGUCAUCUUGGACCUAAUUCAUUGAAUUUGAAAAAGUACCCAACUUCAAAUGCCCAUAACUUUGUCAUAGAAAAUCCAAAUGAUCCUAAAAUAAAUACAUAUGAUAAUGCAAAACAUUAUAGGUCAUCUUGGACCUAAUUCAUUGAAUUUGAAAAAGUACCCAACUUCAAAUGCCCAUAACUUUGUCAUAGAAAAUCCAAAUGAUGCAAAUUUUGAGUCUAGAUUGACCAUCUUGAAAAGAUCUACAACUUUGGUGUUGGCGAUUUGUUAAUUUGAAGCUUUUAUCAUGAGGAAAGAGGGGUUUGCUUAAGCUUAGUUUUGGGUUAAUUUUUCAAAGUGAUUUGAAUAUGUUUUAUACUUGAACUUUCCAGGUCAGUUUUGAUCCAUUUUCACAUGCCAAAUGAUUUUUUGCCCAACAUGAAUUUUGUUCCUUAUUUCAAGAGCUUUCCAACCAUUACUCACAAUAGUCCUUGGGGUCUACCAUUUUUUAGUUUCGAAUUUCUUUUCAUUUAUGUGCAUUUUUGAUAUUUCAUGUUAUAACUUGGUAUGCAAGCAUUUCCCAUUCAAUGUGCACGACCAAAUGCCUUUCACAUGAUUUCAGCAAGCUUCUUUAGCCAUCCAUGGGCCUUUUACACGUCCACAAAGGCCCAUGCACUCAAAUUUCAAAUUCUCAUGCACAUGAGCAAAGUGUGAACUCAGCCAUAUUCAGCUAUAAAUAAACACCUCAUGAGCUUCAUUUGACAACCUUUUGGAGAUCCCAUAUGCUGCUGCACUGAAACCAUAGCCCUCACUAAAGGAAUCAAUCACUUUCUUAAAUAUUUUCGAGCUUGAAAUUCAGCAACAUUAGCUGAGUUUUAAAGCCAGAUUCCUUAGCCAAUCAGUUCCACUACACUCAUAGAUCAAAAAGGAGCAAAGAUCUUGAAGAAUUCGUGGCCAAAAGCUCAUCAAUUUGAAGGUUCAACUCAAACUAUUUGGAUUUGAAACUCCUAAUUCAAUGUAGCUUUCUUGUGUUCUGGUUGUUCUCUAAAGUCCUCAUACUUGAGGCAAGCUGUUGAUGCAUUCAAUUUGCCAUUUCAUGAACAAUCCGUGUGGACACCAUGAUUUUCUCCUUCAUCUUUCUCUCGAUAUAGGAAGAUUGAAAGAAAUCCAUUGGUACAGUGAUGGUCUACAUCACAAGAGCUUCAUUCCCAUGUCCUUGUUUUCCAUUUCUAUUGAGAUUUAUUUUUCUGCAACUCUGGCCGGAGUUUGUGUGGUUGGCCGGAGAAAACGGUGGUUUCCACCACCACCACCAUGUUUGCAUACUUAUGGCCCUUGGAUCUCCCUUCCAUGAUCUAAUCGUGUGCGUUCAUUUUAAUUACCUGUUUUAAUGCAUCAUGUGGCGCGUUUGACUCAAGCCUAGCGUGUGUCUUCAGAUCCAGACCAUACAUCCUUGCCACGUUAAUUAAUGAAUUGCAUCUUGUGGCUCAGACUUUUUCGCUUAUUUCAUUUUUCUUUUUAUUUUCUGUUAAUUCAUCUCAUUUUCAUUAAUUCUUUAAAAAUUCAUUUGAAGUCAGAAAAAUAUGACACCAACUCAAAAAAUUUUCUUGAAAAAUCUAGUUUCAUAUUAUGAUUUUUAAUUAUUUUUGUGACUUCAUUUGAUAUUUUUUAUGAAUUACUUGGUUUUUAAUGAUUUUAAUUCAUUUUAAAAUACUUUCUGACUUUUAAAAAAUAAAAAAAUAUUUUCAUAGCAUCUAUGGAUCAUGAUAAGUCAAUGAAAAAUAGUCUCAACAAUUUCUUAUUUGUUUUGAGAUUAUUUGAGAUUUUAAUUCAUAUUAUGCUAUUUUUGGUUGUUUUAAUUGAUUUUAAUUACUUUCUGAUUUCAAAAAUUUGUGAGGAAAUUAGUCAAAGUUCGUUUGACUAUAUUGAACCUAUGAGAAUUUAAUUGGACUCAUUGAAGUUGUUUUGAAUUGGAUUUGAGGUUCAACUUUGUUUAUUUAUUUUUUAUUUGUAUUUUCUUUUAAUUCGAAAAAUACCAAAAAAAUAUCAGACCCCUUGACUUGUUAUAUUCAUUUCUCUUCUGUUUGGUGUUGAUUGAGGUUGAAUUGAUUCAACUUUGAUCAAAUUCAUUGGAUCUUGUGGUUUGAAAAUCCUUAAGGAUCAUCACCUAGAAAGAUGAAUGAAUUUGAUCAAGGAUGAGUUAUCCCUUGAUCAAUUGGGAUUGUUUGUUGACUUCUUACCCCUUCCCUUUCAUCUUCAUCCCCUUCUUCUCUUCAAUCGCCAAUGAGUUAAAGUCUUGAGGUUGGUCUUGACAAAUAAGAAGUUUAACCUUCUUUAUUCCAAACCAAACUCAACUUGAUCCAUGAUCAAGUGAGUUAUUUUGUGUCAAAGAUAGGUUGCUUCUUGGUCAAGCAAAUAACCAAAAGUCACUACAAGGCCCUUCCCCUUUUGUUUGGCAUAGCAAGUUUAUGGAGCUUGGCUUACUAGUCAUGACCUCUAACUUGUUUUCUUUACCUAUAUUCUUAUUGAUCGGCCUCAGAUAGGUGUGACUACUACAUUAGUCCACUUACGAUUGCUUAACAUAUCGCUACAUUGUCUUAUGACAAGCUAACAUAACUCUACUAACUACUAACUUUAAUUUGAGCUUUUAAAUUCUUGUCAUUUACUUUUAAUGUCAUUUAUUUCUUGCUCAUUAUUCAUCUUGAUUUUCAUAGCUUUUAAAUUCUUGUCAUUUACUUUUAAUGUCAUUUAUUUCUUGCUCAUUAUUCAUCUUGAUUUUCAUCUUUGCUCACUUGAGCCCAUAUUUUAUGUUUAUGUCAUUUUUCUUUUGCUCAUUUGAGUCCAUUAUUGUAUAUAAAUGUAUUGCUAUUUUGUGUUGUUUGUGUUUGUUUUGAUGUGAACCAAAAUGCAAAAGGAGAAAGGAAUUAGAAUUAGGACUUACCCAUGCUUAAAGGAGUUCAAGAGCAACUAGGCCUCAUGCCUUUAGAAUGCAAAAUUUGUUGAGAGCAACUAGGCCUCAUUCCUUUAGAAUGCUAAAAUUCAAAGUUGACCUUAAAGGACUUCUCCUCAAACUUAUUCUUUGUCCAUUCCCUUUAUUUUGUUGUGAGCUUUUUGAUGUGUGCUUUUGUGUGAUAGGAACCUCAUCUUAAGAUUGUGAAAAGAGGACCAUUGUCAUGGGUAGCCAAGUUAAGAGUCAAGUCAAAUGGAGAUCCUAGGAGCUUGAAUUCAAAUUAUUUGAUUGCUUGUUUUGUGUGCUAAAUCCAAAGGAAAGGAGCAUUUUGAGUCAUCUCUAUGACUCCAAGAAAAGGAAAUCCAAGGGUUAUCUUUCCCCUCUUAUCUUUGUAUGCUUUAGGAAUAGCCUUUCUUUCUUCUCCCCACUCUAACCAAGCCAAAAAUCAUUUUCAAAACUUUGACUUUAUUUCAAAUUAGAAACCUAGGCCUUAGGCCUUUGAAUUUUUCAAAACCAUUUUCAUAAGUACUCCUUGUAAAUAAACUUUAACCCAACUUUGACCUCAUUUUGUAAAUAAAUUUAACUUGUAAAUAUAACCCAUUUCAAGUUGUUUUUGUGGUUCCAAUGGCCACUUUGUUAAAAUCUUUUCAAGAACAUUAGUCAUAGGUUUGAGUUAUCAUAGUGGGUGAUGUAAAUCUCACCUCAUCCUUAGUGUUGGAUCAUAAGCCUUCCAUGCUUAUUAUAGGGGUUAACCCCUCACUAGCAUGUUGAAGUCUUCCUUACAUGGUGGAUUGUUGGUUUAGGUUGAGUUUUCUCCCUUUGGUAACAAAAGACCUUAAGGCUUCUGAUUAAAAUCAAUUCACCAACCUUUGAAAUUUUUACCACGAACUAUGAGGUUUUGAUCCUCCUUUGUGAUGGUACGUAAGCAAUGGUUUCAUCCAUUCAAACAACAAACUCGUAAAUAUGAUCUAUUCUCUUCUCAUCCAUCCAAUCUUUUGCACAAAUAUUUUCACAAAUACCAACCUCUAACACAUAUUUGCAAAAAGAGGUUCCCUUAGAGUACUAAGGAUGUUUUGGGUGCGUAAAACCUUCCCAUUUUAUAACCAACCCCCUUACCUAGAUCUCUGACAUUUUUAUUAGUUUUUUAUUUGAAAAACUUCUUACUUGGCUUUUGUUUGCUUUUUAGCCUUUCCUUUGGACAAAUAAAAGUGCGGUGACGACUCGAAUUGUAUGUUGACUUUCGGUUUAGUCAAUAAACCUAAAAGUAACGAAAACCCCGCUACAUGGAUAACAUACAAAAAUCCAUCUCUUUCUUUCUUGUGUGAUUCACUCAUGUUUGUUAGUCUCUAGAACUUGAAUUGACUUUUAUUGAUGUUGUUGUUUACUUGUGCACACUGAUAUGAUAAAGGCAGUUUUGUUUUUUGUUUUUUUAGCCAGUUAGCCAAAAAGCCAACCCUGAAAUAAUAUCAUCCCUUGUUUGAAACCCCCUUGAGCCUAUUAUCCUUUGUUUGUUUAAAACUCAUUACAAACCGAAAAGUGAAAAACAAUGUUAAAUCACCUUAUUCAAAGGGUUGAAAGAGUCUUGUUUGGAGUUGUGUAUGGUUGAAUAAUUAUGUUUGCAAUAUUUCAGAAGUUGGUAGAAAAAGAAAAAAAAUAGAAAAAGAAAAUAGAAAAGAAAAAAAAUAGAAGGAUGUAUACGUGUCAAUACAUACUCCUUAUGAAAAAGGAAAGAAAAAAAUAUGAAUGAAAACAAUUACUAUAAAGUUGUUGAAGUGAAUGAAAUAUUUUGUAAAUUCAACUCCCACAGUUUCUUUCAAGUCUCUUUUAUCUCUUUGAAUUUUAGCCUAGUCCCUUAGGAUUUAUCUCACCCUUACCUUGAUCACGUUACAACCAAAUAAAAGUCCUUUUGAUCUUUGUGUGCAUGUAUUUUAAUUGUGGAUGUUAGAGUCUUUUCAAGCUUAUGGUAGUACUAACUUUCAUGUUGUGCUUUGAGUGUAAACAUUUAAUCUAAACACUUAGAGUUGAGUGAAUUAUAUCCUGUGAGGAUCUUAUUAUGAUUGAUGUACUCUUUGGUAACUUAUUUUCCUAUCUGCUUUGAAUGUCACAAAAAGUUGCUUACUAAUAUCAUAUUCUUAAAGCUUGGACUUAUAAUUUUGCUUUUACCUUGUAUCUUGAUAACCUAUGGAAUUGCAUGUUUUGUUUGUUCUCAUUUUUCUGUUUUGAGUUUUGAAUUUAUAAUUUUGUUCGGAGUGCAAAAGUUCAAGUGUGGGGGAAUUUGAUCAGUGCAUUUUGAUGCACUUUCUUCUACUAUUGUACUUAGGCAAAUCUAUAGUUUAUUAUAUUAUUUUUAAUAUUUUAGUGUGUUUUAAUAAUCAAGUGUGGGGGAAUUUGAUCAGUGCAUUUUGAUGCACUUUCUUCUACUAUUGUACUUAGGCAAAUCUAUAGUUUAUUAUAUUAUUUUUAAUAUUUUAGUGUGUUUUAAUAUUUAAGUUUAUUUUUGCCUUUAUUUUAUUUUCAUACUUUAUUUUCAGCAUAAAUAGUUAUUUGAUACCUUAUCACUAUGCAGAUCAUAACUUGGGCUAUAGAAGUCGGAUUGACACGUUCUAAUAUGCGUUGGAAAGCUUAGAGAAAGAACUACAAGUUUCUUGUUAAAGUCAAAAGCAGAUUCAUAAUGAAGAAGGAUCGAAUAAUUCAUUGAAGUUUCAUACUUAAUUAAAAUAGUUAGUUUGGGUCAGUUUUUGUAAUUUUCGAGUCAGAUCCUAUAAGGGCCCGAAUUUGCCUUUUAUUAUAUUAGGUCUUUCACUACUAUAGUAAUCCUAAUUCUGAAUUUUGAUGAGACAAUAUUGCUUAGAAGAUUUCAUGAAUAUCUAAUUCCCAAAGAGCUGAUCUGUUGUAUUCGGAUUCCCCUUUGAGGUUUUUAAUAAUUUCAGUUUAAUUUUGAUUUCUUUUCAAUUCUUCCUAUAAACUCGUUUGCUUAAUUCAAUUACUCUCGUUUGCUUAAUUCGAUUGUUUCUUAUAGGAUAGAGUUGAUUAAAUUUGAUUGUUUGUAUGAUCCUUAACUAUAAUCACGUUAGCGUAGCUUUUUCGUUAUCGUGUUUGAUUAAGUCGCGUUUACUUAAUUCGCGUCUGCUUAGAGUUGAUUAAAUUUGAUUGUUUGUAUGAUCCUUAACUAUAAUCACGUUAGCGUAGCUUUUUCGUUAUCGUGUUUGAUUAAGUCGCGUUUACUUAAUUCGCGUCUGCUUAAAUCCGUUUGCUUAAUUUGGAAAUUCGGAGCAUACAUCAUAUAAUACCAAUUUGCGCUUGUCAGUGGGUAUUGUAAUCGGAUGGGAUUGAAUCCUCUAGGGAAUUAAAAUUAUAAGAAUCGAUGAUAAGUCGGAAAUUGAUACAAUAGAUUAGCUUAUUUAUCAAUUUUGAUUUUACUUUUAAUAAUCAUCGAUUUAUGUUUUGGACCUUAAAAACCCCCUUAUUUUCAUUCGUUUGGUUAUAACAUUCAAGAGUCCUUGUGAUACGAUAUUCGAGUGUCGCUUCCGUUUUACUACACUUUAAACUCGUUUUUGACCCGUGUGCGACAGCGGAUCAGUCCCUCUUCCACUCCCAGCUUAAACUUUUACUGUUAGAAACUGGUUAUUUACCAUCAUAAAUUUAUUUAAACCAAGCAGAAUAUGUGUUUUCUUGUGAUUGUGUUGCUUUUGCUAACUUGAAAUGAAACAUUUUUACAGGGAAAUACAUUGUAUAGUGCUGAGUUUGGGGGUGAUGCUUGCAAGGAGUAUGGCCCGUUUAUGCAUUAAGCUGGCUCUGAUGUGAGAUUGUGCAGAAGUUUGACCUUACUUGUUGUUGUUUCAGUUUAACCUUGGCAUGACAGUUUAUCAUAUCCAAUCCAGUAGUGUGUCACUAACUCCUCCAAUCCUCUUGCAGGCGUAGCCUUUUGCUUAUAAGCCCAUCCCAGCGGAUCAAUACGGAGGACCA
rnacentral:lncRNA from 1 species